AACGAACGCUGGCGGCAGGCCUAACACAUGCAAGUCGAGCGCCCGCAAGGGAGCGGCGGACGGGUGAGUAACGCGUGGGAACGUGCCCUUUGCUACGGAAUAGCCUCGGGAAACUGAGAGUAAUACCGUAUGUGCCCUUCGGGGGAAAGAGUUAUCGGCAAAGGAUCGGCCCGCGUUGGAUUAGGUAGUUGGUGGGGUAAUGGCCUACCAAGCCGACGAUCCAUAGCUGGUUUGAGAGGAUGAUCAGCCACACUGGGACUGAGACACGGCCCAGACUCCUACGGGAGGCAGCAGUGGGGAAUCUUAAACAAUGGGCGCAAGCCUGAUCUAGCCAUGCCGCGUGAGCGAUGAAGGCCUUAGGGUUGUAAAGCUCUUUCGUGGGGGAAGAUAAUGACGGUACCCCAAGAAGAAGCCCCGGCUAACUCCGUGCCAGCCGCCGCCGUAACAC
rnacentral:rRNA from 1 species